AGCUUCUCAAAUCUUUCUGAAUAAUCUCUACUUGUACGAUUUAUACCAUUUACGGUUUUAUCUAGGUUUGAAUAAAUUUUUUUUUUCCGGUUUACUUUAUGAAAUUGGCUCACUGAUUUAACCUGUGAUGUGUGUUUUGUUCAUCUUUCGGAGGAAACAACUGCUGGAUACAUAAACUUUCGAGCAACCGAUGGAAGGCUCUUUCAUUGUGUUGAAGAUAAACUACAAUCAGAUAAGUAUUUUGAUCCUUGGGAAAUUAAUAUUAACAGGAAGUGAUUGCUUAUGCCUAUUUAAAAGCUAAGUGGCUUUUUAUAAUAUCUUUGUAGGUGACCUGAAAACAUCAUAUAAUUACCGAAAACAAAGGCUGGGAACUUUCUUCAUCGUACAAAGGAGUAACUUCAUUUCAUAAGGUUUCCAGAUAAGACCGAGUCAAAUCGGCUGAGAGAUAGGAACAGAUCAUCAGAUAUAGAGUCGACCAUCUCGACUACGGUUUGAUACCUGAAAGUCAUCUUGUAGCGAUGACUGGUUGGUUUGAAUUGGCCACUGGCAAGGCUUAAACCAAAAUUUUCAAUGGAUCUCCAUUGUCCAGAAGUGAACCUAUUCUCGAAACGGUUGAUGAGGACCCUUACCUGCACCUUUCAUGAAGUCUUGAAUGGCUUGAUUUCUCGGAGGAAAGCGUAUGAAGCAGCCAUUGCGAGGCUUUAUUGGAGGGCUUUUUAUUAAUGUGAAAACAAAGGAAAAAUGAAGCCGGGUUAAAGGCAAAAGACGCGGAUCCUCUACCCUUCUGGGCGGGUAAUAUCUUUUCAUGUGGGCGGACAAAUGUGCCCUUGCGAAUUUUCAGAAUCAUUUUAGAUUUGCUCGAAUUGAAUGGCAAUUUGAGUAAUUAGAAGGAGGAUUUCGAACAUUUUCCCAAACAUACUCCUCUUUUAAUUAUAUAUAGAGAUAUAAUAAAUUAUUUAUUAUACGUGUAUCAUCUUAAUAGAUAAAAGCUAAAUUAUACAAGAAUAACAUGUGUUGUAUUUAUAUUAAUAAUAUAUAAAAGCUAAAUAAUAAGUAACU